rnacentral:tRNA from 1 species
GCCUGGGUGGCUCAAUUGGUUAAGCAUCUGACUUCAACUCAGGUCAUGAUCUCGUGUUUUGUGGGUUCAAGCCCCAUAUCGGCU